GACGGUGACACGGGGUGCCGAAAAAGUCGGCUGAGAUCAGACCCGAUGAACCUGACCAGUUAGCACUGGCGGAGGGAUGUCGACAUGACCGAAC
rnacentral:ncRNA from 2 species